rnacentral:rRNA from 1 species
UACGUAGGGUGCAAGCGUUGUCCGGAAUUAUUGGGCGUAAAGCGCGUGUAGGCGGCUUUGCAAGUCGGGUGUGAAAGCCCUCAGCUCAACUGAGGAAGUGCGCCCGAAACUGCAGAGCUUGAGUGCCGGAGAGGGUGGCGGAAUUCCCCAAGUAGAGGUGAAAUUCGUAGAUAUGGGGGAGGAACACCGGUGGCGAAGGCGGCCGACCUGGACGGUAACUGACGGCUGAGACGCGAAAGCGUGGGGGAGCAAACAGG